UCCUUGGGCUUUACAACACUCAUGCGC
rnacentral:sRNA from 1 species